GACGAACGCUGGCGGCGUGCUUAACACAUGCAAGUCGAACGGACAGGCCCUGCUUUUGUGGGGUGCUCGAGUGGCGAACGGGUGAGUAACACGUGAGUAACCUGCCCUUGACUUUGGGAUAACUUCAGGAAACUGGGGCUAAUACCGGAUAGGAGCUCCUGCUGCAUGGUGGGGGUUGGAAAGUUUGGGCGGUUGGGGAUGGACUCGCGGCUUAUCCGCUUGUUGGUGGGGUAGUGGCUUACCAAGCCUUUGACGGGUAGCCGGCCUGGGAGGGUGGCCGGGCACAUUGGGACUGAGAUACGGCGCAGACUCGUACGGGAGGCAGCAGUGGGGAAUAUUGCACAAUGGGCGGAAGCCUGAUGCAGCAACGCCGCGUGCGGGAUGACGGCUUUCGGGUUGUAAACCGCUUUCGCCUGUGACGAAGCGUGAGUGACGGUAAUGGGUAAAGAAGCACCGGCUAACUACGUG
rnacentral:rRNA from 1 species